GUAAUAGGUAAGUUCUUGAAACCCAAAGGAUUUGGCGGUAUUUUAGUCCUUUCAGAGGAAUCUGUCCCAUAAUCGACAGUCCACGAGUAAAUUUACUUAAUUUUGUAUAAUCAGUUUGUAUACCUCCGUCAUAAGAGUAUCUUUUUAGAGAUAAAUUUUCUUAAUAUACUAAAUAUAGAAUGUCAGGUCAAGGUGCAACUUAUAAUUAAGUGGAGAUGGAUUACAAUAAAUUUAUUUAAAUGGAUUAAAUUAUUUAAUUUUUUAUGAAGGUGGAUUUGAUAGUAAAAUUAAUAUAUAAUUAUUUUGAUUUAGGCUCUAAAAUAUGCACACAUCGCCCG
rnacentral:rRNA from 1 species